GACGAACGCUGGCGGCGUGCUUAACACAUGCAAGUCGAACGGAAAGGCCCUGCUUUUGUGGGGUGCUCGAGUGGCGAACGGGUGAGUAACACGUGAGUAACCUGCCCUUGACUUUGGGAUAACUUCAGGAAACUGGGGCUAAUACCGGAUAGGAGCUCCUGCUGCAUGGUGGGGGUUGGAAAGUUUCGGCGGUUGGGGAUGGACUCGCGGCUUAUCAGCUUGUUGGUGGGGUAGUGGCUUACCAAGGCUUUGACGGGUAGCCGGCCUGAGAGGGUGACCGGCCACAUUGGGCCUGAGAUACGGCCCAGACUCCUACGGGCGGCAGCAGUGGGGAAUAUUGCACAACGGGCGGAAGCCUGAUGCAGCAACGCCGCGUGCGGGAUGCCGGCCUUCGGGUUGUAAACCGCUUUCGCCUGUGCCGAAGCGUGAGUGACGGUAAUGGGUAAAGAAGCACCGGCUAACUACGUG
rnacentral:rRNA from 1 species